rnacentral:lncRNA from 1 species
AAAGAAGCCAAGUCAACUUCCCUUUGACCUACAGCAAAACAACAUCAACAAGAAAAGUCAACAGUGUCACUCUUGGAGAAGAAAAUCUUCCUUGGAAAAAGCUUAAUUCCAACCCCUCCAGUCAGAGCAAAGUGUUGAAUCCAAGUGUAAUUUCCUAAGUGAACAGCUUAACCACAGAGUAUUGUAUAAAAGAAUUAAAGGAAACUGUUAAGAAAAGCAAACAAUAAAUGAAGUUAUGACAAAGAUAAAUAUAUUCCAGAGGGAAUUGCUGGAAGACUUCAUUGUUAGAGACUGCGAACAGUGAAAUGUCUACCACCACUGCAGGUUAUGGAUGGAUUUUUCCAAGUGAGAAAUGCUUGCACCAGAAGAUAUUUAUGCUCUUCUUUACCUGAGAUUUACUACAGUUUAACAAUUGGUAAAAAAUUGGAAUCAGCAUAAUAUGUCUACACAAUCGUAAAUGAAACGCCAGUGAAAUAUGAAGAAUGUCCUUAGAUUCAUCACCAUAAUUAUUUUCUGUAUAUUAAAACCAUUAUGAUAAAAAGGCCAGAGGCAUUUGUAAUCCAAAUGAUUUAAACAGAGGUAACAAAAUAACAGAUCAGUGGGAAGGAACCUACAACAAUAAUCAAGUCCAACUGCCUGACUACUUCAAGGAUAACCAAAAGUUAAAGCAUUAUCCAUAUGCCUCUUGCACUCUGACUGACAUGGGACAUCAACAACCUCCCUAGGAAGCCUGUUCCAGGCUCUUAUGGUAAAUGAUUUUUUCCUAAUGUCCAAUCUGAACUUCUCCUGAUGCAGCUUUGUGCCAUUCCCUCACGUCCUGUCACCAGUUCCCACUGAGAAGAGAUCAGCACCUCCCUCUCCGCUACCUCUCCAGGAAGUUGUGUAGGGUAGAGAAUGAGAAAUGAGGAAAGUAAAGGCAAGCUGUCCAGAGAUCCCCUAAAAUCACCUAUGUUUUCCAAAGCCAAUCAGUAAAUGUUGAAAGAUCACUGUAUGUUAACCAGCA